UACGAAGGGGGCUAGCGUUGCUCGGAAUCACUGGGCGUAAAGCGCACGUAGGCGGACUCUUAAGUCGGUGGUGAAAUCCUGGAGCUCAACUCCAGAACUGCCUUCGAUACUGGGAGUCUCGAGUCCGGGAGAGGUGAGUGGAACUGCGAGUGUAGAGGUGAAAUUCGUAGAUAUUCGCAAGAACACCAGUGGCGAAGGCGGCUCACUGGCCCGGUACUGACGCUGAGGUGGCGAAAGCGUGGGGAGCAAACA
rnacentral:rRNA from 1 species